GAUGAACGCUAGCUACAGGCUUAACACAUGCAAGUCGCGGGGCAGCAUGGGGGUUGCUUGCAAUCCCCGAUGGCGACCGGCGAACGGGUGAGUAACGCGUAUCCAACCUGCCCUUCACCCCGGGAUAACCCGGCGAAAGUCGGACAAAUCCCGUAUGUUGUCCAUUGACGGCAUCCGGUUUGGGCGAAAGGCUUGGCGGUGAGGGGGGGGGGUGCGUCCGCUUUGCCAGGCGGCGGGGGGACGGCCCACCGUGGGUACGAUAGGGAGGGGUUCUGAGAGGGAGGGCCCCCACACUGGAACUGAGACACGGGCCAGACUCCUACGGGAGGCAGCAGUGAGGAAUAGUAGUCAAUGGGCGUAAGCCUGAACCAGCCAAGGAGCGUGCAGGAGGACGGCCCUAGGGGUUGUAAACUGCUUUUAGGCGGGGAGAAAGGGGCCGACGGGUGGGCGUUUGCAGGUACCGCAUGAAUAAGGACCGGCUAAUUCCGUG
rnacentral:rRNA from 1 species